rnacentral:rRNA from 1 species
UACGGGGGGAGCAAGCGUUGUUCGGAUUUACUGGGCGUAAAGGGCGCGUAGGCGGUCAGCACAAGUCAGUUGUGAAAUCUCCGGGCUUAACUCGGAAAGGUCAACUGAUACUGUGCGACUAGAGUGCAGAAGGGGCAACUGGAAUUCUCGGUGUAGCGGUGAAAUGCGUAGAUAUCGAGAGGAACACCUGCGGCGAAGGCGGGUCUCUGGGCCGAUACUGACGCUGAGAAGCGAAAGCAUGGGGAGCGAACAGG